rnacentral:rRNA from 1 species
AUUGAACGCUGGCGGCAGGCCUAACACAUGCAAGUCGAACGAGUGGCGGACGGGUGAGUAAUGUCUGGGAAACUGCCUGACGGAGGGGGCUAACUACUGGAAACGGUAGCUAAUACCGCAUACCAUCGGAUGUGCCCAGAUGGGAUUAGCUAGUAGGUGGGGUAACGGCUCACCUAGGCGACGAUCCCUAGCUGGUCUGAGAGGAUGACCAGCCACACUGGGACUGAGACACGUACCAGACGCCUACGGUAGGCAGCAGGGGGGAAUAUUUCGCAAUGGGCGCAAGCCUGAUGCAGCCAUGCCGCGUGUCUGAAGAAGGCCUUCGGUGUGUAAAGUACUUUCAGCGAGGAGGCGUUACUCGCAGAAGAAGCACCGGCUAACUCCGUGCCAGCCGCCGCGGUAAUUC